CCCAGACUCCUACGGGAGGCAGCAGUGGGGAAUAUUGCACAAUGGGGGGAACCCUGAUGCAGCGACGCCGCGUGGGUGAAGGAGCACCUCGGUGCGUAAAGCCCUAUCGGCAGGGAAGAAACAGACGGUACCUGACUAAGAAGCCCCGGCUAACUACGUGCCAGCAGCCGCGGUAAUACGUAGGGGGCAAGCGUUAUCCGGAUUCACUGGGUGUAAAGGGAGCGUAGACGGCGACGCAAGUCUGGAGUGAAAGCCCGCGGCCCAACCGCGGGACUGCAUUGGGAACUGGCGCGCUGGAGUGCCGGAGGGGUAGGCGGAAUUCCUAGUGUAGCGGUGAAAUGCGUAGAUAUUAGGAGGAACACCAGUGGCGAAGGCGGCCUACUGGACGGUGACUGACGCUGAGGCUCGAAAGCGUGGGGAGCAAACAGGAUUAGAUACCCGCGUA
rnacentral:rRNA from 1 species